AUGCAUACUGAAGAGUCCCAAACAGGACGAAACGCACGUCCUGAAU
rnacentral:hammerhead_ribozyme from 1 species